CCGUAGGCUUUCACCUGACCAUGUUCCUUGCAGAGACCGAAUUCGACGGUGAACCAGUAGACCUGUAGAGCGAAAAAGAGAAGUGGAAAAAGCAUGGCGUACAAUGGAAAACUUGACACUGACGCUUGGCCUUUGGUGGUAAAACAAUAGCAUGGGCGCACAGCACAGGGCCAGUCACAUCGCUCGCAUGCGAAUGUGUGUGAGUGUGUAUUUGUGUAUGCAGCGCAUUUUGGCAGCAACCAUGUGUUUGACCUCAAUCGUUGGCAAAAUUGUCAAGCGCGGCAGCUACAGCUUGAAUUUAGCAUUGAAUAAAUGUUUGUUAGUAAGUAAACGUGUUACUUGUAUGGAAAUAUAUGUACAUGUGUCUUAA